rnacentral:ncRNA from 1 species
GUUUCGGUCGCCCAGCCAAGGGCGCCAAGAGGGAAUCAGGUGCAAGUCCUGAGCAGUCCCGCUGCUGUGAGUUUCAGCAUAAUACGCCAUCAAAAGAGCCACUGCACGCCGCCAUAGGCGCGUGGGAAGGCGGUGGCGCGAAACAAGCCAGAAGACCUACCGGAGCCAUUA